ensembl:snRNA U2 U2 spliceosomal RNA
AUCUCUCCUUGGACUUUUGGCUUAGAUCUAGGGAAAACCUGAUCUUAUCAGCUGUAAAAUCUCAUAUGUCCUCCAUGAGAGGGCUGUGUGUUGAGCAGAUUUUGGGGCUUGGGAGGUGGAGUUGGAGCUUGCUCUGUCCCCUCCAUGCAUUGGCCUGGUAUUGCAGCGCUUUCAGGAGUGGUGCAGCCCCC